rnacentral:tRNA from 1 species
UGGGACAGAGAAAUGGCUGAACCCCGCGUAAAUAGAGACUAUCAACGAAAAUAUGUGCUUGACUGGGGGUCAAGUGGUCGCAAAUUCAAAUCUUGCCGUCCCGACCA